AUGUGUGUUCCAAAAAAUUAAGGAGAUAUGGGUUUUCAGGAUUUACAUUGUUUCAACCUUACACUGUUGGCUAAACAAGCAUGGCGUCUUCUUGACAAUCAUAAUUCUUUAUGUCCCACUAUCUUGAGAGUUAAGUAUUUUCCUCAUGGCAACAUGAUGAAUGCAACAUUAAAAAAGAGGUCCUUUUUUACAUGGCAAAGCAUUACGGUAGGAGUAAUAUCACUAAAAAAUGGCUAUGUCCAACGAGUUGAAAAUAGACAAAAUAUUAACAUUUGGAAAGAUGCAUGCAUCCCGAAGUAUGCACAUAGGAAAGUCAUUACUCCUAAAAGGGCGAACCUGUCAAAAGUAUAUGAUCUUAUUGAUCAGGUUACUAAGAGCAACUCCUGCAAAAAGGCUCGACCCGCAAAAUAA
rnacentral:rRNA from 1 species